GUCUUUCUAGUAUAGUGUUAGUACUACUGGCUUCCAACCAUUGGGUCUUGGUUAAAUCCCAAGGAAAGAUA
rnacentral:tRNA from 1 species